UACACUAUAGAUUGAGAAGUG
rnacentral:siRNA from 1 species